rnacentral:rRNA from 1 species
CCUACGGGGGGCUGCAGUGAGGAAUAUUGGUCAAUGGGCGCGAGCCUGAACCAGCCAAGUAGCGUGAAGGAUGACUGCCCUACGGGUUGUAAACUUCUUUUAUAACGGAAUAAAGUGAUGCACGUGUGCCUUUUUGUAUGUACUUUAUGAAUAAGGAUCGGCUAACUCCGUGCCAGCAGCCGAGGUAAUACGGAGGAUCCGAGCGUUAUCCGGAUUUAUUGGGUUUAAAGGGAGAGUAGAUGGGUUGUUAAGUCAGGUGUGAAAGUUUGCGGCUCAACCGUAAAAUUGCAAUUGAUACUGGCAGGCUGGAGUACAGUUGAGGUAGGCGGAAUUCGUGGUGUAGCGGUGAAAUGCUUAGAUAUCACGAAGAACUCCGAUUGCGAAGGCAGCUUACUAAACUGCAACUGACAUUGAUGCUCGAAAGUGUGGGUAUCAAACAGGAUUAGAUACCCGAGUAGUC